CAAAAAACAGACACAAACAUAUUUUUGCUGAGCCUUUAAGCUAAACUUAAAAUCAAAUGAGAAGUAUUUAGGCUAGAGUCCAGGAAAAAAAAAUCCCAAGUCUUUAGGCUAGAGUCCAAGAAAAGUCCCAAGCCUUUAGGCUAGAGUCCAAGAAAAGUCCCAAGCCUUUAGGCUAGAGUCCAAGAAAAAAAAGUCCCAAGCCUUUAGGCUAGAGUCCAAGAAAAGUCCCAAGUCUUUAGGCUAGAGUCCAAGAAAAGUCCCAAGUCUU